CAUUACCAACUCAAAUAUUGUUAUGGCAAUCCUGCUACACCGUAUAGACUUAUAUCUUCGCAUUACCACCAGUCAUUGUCAAUUGUUAUUUACCACUCGUCGUGACUGUCCUCUCUUAACUUGGAAUUAUCAAUUAUACAAAUCGCACUCUUUACUUGGCAAACACCAGUUCAAAGACAAAAUUGCGUUGAUAAUAGAUGACAGUCGUGCGAACAGUGGAUCAGAUUAAGUCUAAUUAUUUAUAAUCAGCUUCACUGAGGAUGACCCAAAAACGGGUCGAAACGUUUGGAUCUUUUAAUAAAGUGUGUUUUUUCAAAAAACAUCGAUAAUUUCGCACGGACACCUGCUGGAGGCUCGCAUUGGCCAUUUCUCCCUACCUACCUUUAUUUGAUUGAGAGCCGUCACUACAAUUUGAAAGUAAUAAAAUAUGGCUACAACUUCUAAUAGACUUCUAAUUUCCCACAUUUUGAAGUAGUCCAAUUUCACAAUUAUAUGGAUAUUUUAAAUUACACUGUUCUAGUAACUUACAAUAUUAUUUUGGUAUACAUGUAAAAAUUUUGAUUUAUUUGUACUUAAUUAAUUAUUCUACAUAACAUUGAUCAAGUUGUAGCAAUUUACAUAUAUUUAAUCAUUAAAAUGAGUAAAAUACAUUAUUAUAUCUUUACUAACGAGUUUGAAUACAUCUAGACUCCCAUUUACUUUUACGAUACCUUCUACAAAUAGUCGCGGUAUUU